GACGAACGCUGGCGGCGUGCUUAACACAUGCAAGUCGAACGGAAAGGCCCUGCUUUUGUGCGUUGCUCGAGUGGCGAACGGGUGAGUAAAACGUGAGUAAAAUGUCCUUAACUUUGGGAGAACUUCAGGAAACUGGGGCUAUUAUCGGAUAGGAUAUCCUGCAGCAUGGUGGGCGUUAGAAAGAUUCGGCGGUUGGGGAUGGACUCGCGGCUUAUCAGCUUGUUGGUGGGGUAGUGGCUUACAAAGGCUUUGACGGGUAGCCGGCCUGAGAGGGUGAACGGCCACAAUGGGACUGAGAUACGGCCCAGUCUCCUACGGUAGGCAGCAGUGGGGAAUAUUGCACAAUGGUCGGAAGCCUGAUGCAGCAACGCCGCGUGCGGGAUACCGGCCUUCGGGUUGUGAACCGCUUUCGCCUGUGCCGAAGACUGAGUGACGGUAAUGGGUAAAGAAGCACCGGCUAACUACGUG
rnacentral:rRNA from 1 species